CACGUGGCUUUAGUAUAUAAUUUGACACUCGUCCGUUUUCCAUUAGUUUGUGGAAAAUUGUGCGAAGCGACGUUCAUUAUUUAACUCAGUAGCACAAUGAAACUCACAAACUGUUGGCUAUUAUUGACUGCGAUUCUGUUAUUUAUAGGAAUCGCAAGUGCCAACAUUUAUGAUGGACAUGAGAUUUAUAACACUGAUUACCUUUCUGAGGAUAUGCCGGUAAAAAAUGUGUAUAAAAAAUCGAUUAAUUGUCCUACAAGAUUCAAAUAUGUAGUUGGACGUUGUUGAUCAGAUCAGAAUCUUGCUAAA